GCUUGUCAUGUCAUUGUAUAGUGGAGUGUAAAUGCCGGAGCGCUGUUUCAUAUUAGUUUACAACAAAUAGACGCGACAAUGUGUUGCCGGGAAAAGUACACGAAGCUGGAGGGCGGAUCGAUUGCUAUUGGUGUUAUACACAUUUUUGUUUGCAUUUAUUUCCUCCCUAUUGGUUUCUACAAUAUUGGCUUAAUUGACCAUGCGGGCAAUGAGUGGAAUACUGUGUAUCACAUAUUCGCAAUGACUGUACUCCUUUUCGAGGCAUUUUGUGGUUGGGCUUUCAGUACAACAUUAUUAAUUGGAAUCAAGAAGAGGAAUCCAAAUUGCGUGUUAUCGUACAUAGUGUGGGUGUGCCUCUCACAUUUUUUACUUAACACCAUAUUCCUUAUUAUUACAUUUAUACUGGCUCCAUAUAUAUACACUGAUUUGAGAGGGGAGCCUUCUCCUGAGCAUAUGAAUAUUUUUCGUAAACUUUAUGUCUACACCUGUGUGGCUUACUAUCUCUUUGGAACAGUUUCGUUGAUCAUCAUUUACAAGCAAUUUCAAAUUUUGAAAGAACGAAAGAACUUACUAAAAACUGACAUUGAUGUACGUUAUACGUUGCAAUUCCAUUGAAAAUUUAACAAAUUGACGACGACGCUGAAAAUUCAAAAUGGCAAGGACUUAACAAACGCAUCGACUGAAUUACUCAAAAUUUAAAUUCUGAAGCGCCCUUACGGCGUGAUUUUUCAUUUGAAAAUACUCAAAAUCUGUGACUAAAAUAAGCUUUAAAGAAAAGACUGCUUACGAAAAGUGAAACUUCUGCUGCCUUCGUACGUUGUGAGCAACUCGCUGAGAAAUUCGUUUUCGGCACACGCGAUGUGUAUUGACAAACUUGGCCUAUGGCCUCGACACACUUCUACACAACUAGUGCCUAAAAAGCAUUUAUCACUCGGUGGCGUAAAUUCAUUCACAAGAAAUCGAAUUAUUUGUAAUUUUGAAUAGAAAUACGCAAGGAAAUGCCACUUUCGUAUCCACGCUGUUCUCCGUUUGAGAGAAAUUGGAGACGUCAAGAAGAACCGCUUGGAUACGAAAGUGGAAUUUUUUACUUGUGCAAAACAGUAACGAAUCGAAUCAUUAAACUGAAUCUCA